rnacentral:tRNA from 1 species
GGAGAGGUGGCAGAGUGGUUGAAUGCACCGCACUCGAAAUGCGGCAUACGGGCAACCAUAUCGGAAGUUCGAAUCUUCCCCUCUCCG